CGAACGCUGGCGGCAGGCCUAACACAUGCAAGUCGAGCGCCCGCAAGGGAGCGGCGGACGGGUGAGUAACGCGUGGGAACGUACCCUUUGCUACGGAAUAGCCUCGGGAAACUGGGAGUAAUACCGUAUGUGCCCUUCGGGGGAAAGAUUUAUCGGCAAAGGAUCGGCCCGCGUUGGAUUAGGUAGUUGGUGGGGUAAUGGCCUGCCAAGCCGACGAUCCAUAGCUGGUUUGAGAGGAUGAUCAGCCACACUGGGACUGAGACACGGCCCAGACUCCUACGGGAGGCAGCAGUGGGGAAUCUUAGACAAUGGGCGCAAGCCUGAUCUAGCCAUGCCGCGUGAUCGAUGAAGGCCUUAGGGUUGUAAAGAUCUUUCGUGGGGGAAGAUAAUGACUUACCCCAAG
rnacentral:rRNA from 1 species